rnacentral:rRNA from 1 species
UUGGAGGGCAAGUCUGGUGCCAGCAGCCGCGGUAAUUCCAGCUCCAAUAGCGUAUAUUAAAGUUGUUGCAGUUAAAACGCUCGUAGUUGAACUUCGGGGUUUACUCAUUGGUCAGGCUUAGGUGUCUGCACUGGUGAGAUGGAUCUCUACCUUCUGAGGAACUUUCAUGCCAUUUGUUUGGUGUGAUGGGAAAUCAGGGCUGUUACUUUGAAAAAAUUAGAGUGUUUAAAGCAGACUAUCGUCUGAAUACAUUAGCAUGGAAUAAUGAAAUAGGACGGACUGAUUCUAUUUCGUUGGUUUCUAGGAUCACCGUAAUGAUUAAUAGGGAUAGUUGGGGGCAUUAGUAUUCAAUUGUCAGAGGUGAAAUUCUUGGAUUUAUUGAAGACUAACUACUGCGAAAGCAUUUGCCAAGGAUGUUUUCAUUAAUCAAGAACGAAAGUUAGGGGAUCGAAGACGAUCAGAUACCGUCGUAGUCUUAACCAUAAACUAUGCCGACUAGGGAUCGGGCGAAGUUAAUUUUAUAAUGACUCGUUCGGCGCCUUACGGGAAAC